AGAGAGAGAGGGGGAGAGUAGGAGCAUUUCAGUUGAGCCUAUUCUGCCCUGGUUCGUGUUUGCUGCGGUGACACGGUGCCGCACUGAGUGAAGAUUGCGUUCUUAAUCACUUAUCGGGGGUGGAGUGGGGAAAGGAGAGUCAGGAAGUGAGGAUAUUUAUAUUAUUUGACAUAUUAUUUGAUAGCAUGUCAACUUUUGUGUGUGUGUGUGUGUGUGUGUGUGUGUGUGGGUGGGUGUUGGAUCAGUGACAGGUGGCGCUGGGGAGUUACCACGGCGAGCGGCUGGCUGGCUGCAGUGUUUUGGUCAGCACUGGUCAAUCUUGCCCUAUACGCUCUAUUAACCAGUGUUUCCGUCUUCCCGACACCUUCUUCCUGCACCAAGCACCGUCAAGCAUCACCAGAGAGGCACGAGUACGUAAGCUAUCCAACAUCAGAACAGUAUAUGAAUAUGGCAAAUGCUGUUUUGACAUCAUUUCCUGCCAUCCUGAGAAACAGUGAUCUCGAGGAGCAUGAAUUGCAGCUGCAAUGGAAAUUGCGCACCCAGCGCAAGUUUCAGAAUUCAAGAAAGAGGUAGGAUUCCAAAGUGACUGAGGUGACGUCAAGGAAAAAGAAGAUCCCUUGCAUAGCGCCAAAAGAGACUACGUGUCUACUGAUGUAUGGAGUAAAGGCUUACCUUCCACCAAGGCCCCAUUCAGAAGAUGAUGAGUCAUUAGAGAGACAUAGACAGUGGCUUGCUCUACAUUGGAUGAAGAAAGAUCCCGAGUUAGAUAAGCUAUCCAACAUCAGAACAGUAUAUGAAUAUGGCAAAUGCUGUUUUGACAUCAUUUCCUGCCAUCCUGAGAAACAGUGAUCUCGAGGAGCAUGAAUUGCAGCUGCAAUGGAAAUUGCGCAUCCAGCGCAAGUUUCAGAAUUCAAGAAAGAGGCAGGAUUCCAAAGUGACUCAGGUGACGUCAAGGAAAAAGAAGAUCCCUUGCAUAGCGCCAAAAGAGACUACGUGUCUACUGAUGUAUGGAGUAAAGGCUUACCUUCCACCAAGGCCCCAUUCAGAAGAUGAUGAGUCAUUAGAGAGACAUAGACAGUGGCUUGCUCUACAUUGGAUGAAGAAAGAUCCCGAGUUAGAUAAGCUAUCCAACAUCAGAACAGUAUAUGAAUAUGGCAAAUGCUGUUUUGACAUCAUUUCCUGCCAUCCUGAGAAACAGUGAUCUCGAGGAGCAUGAAUUGCAGCUGCAAUGGAAAUUGCGCAUCCAGCGCAAGUUUCAGAAUUCAAGAAAGAGGCAGGAUUCCAAAGUGACUCAGGUGACGUCAAGGAAAAAGAAGAUCCCUUGCAUAGCGCCAAAAGAGACUACGUGUCUACUGAUGUAUGGAGUAAAGGCUUACCUUCCACCAAGGCCCCAUUCAGAAGAUGAUGAGUCAUUAGAGAGACAUAGACAGUGGCUUGCUCUACAUUGGAUGAAGAAAGAUCCCGAGUUAGAUAAGAUAAUCAAGGAGUUCCUGAGAUUAGAACCACAAGCGGAUGAACCAGACCCAAGAGUAGCAGUUUUGAAAGGGCUGGAGAAAUAUAGGCUCCCAAUAAUUGCCAUUCUCAAAAAAAGAAAAGCAGUUCCUCUGUAUAUAGAAACCUUACUUGAACUCUAUGACCACGAUGAAAGUCAAUGCGAGUAAUGUUUAGUUCAAUUUGUUCAUUUCAGUAGCUGGUAGCAAUUUAAUAUAUGUAUCUUUUCAUUAUUAGCAAUGCAUCUUUCACUUUUAUAAGCCUAGUAUUCAUGAAACUAUGCUGCAUGCAAAAACCAAACAUUGUAUUAAGCAUGACCUAUCUAACUGUAAUGCUUGCACCAAUUUCUAUAAAGGUACUAAUUUAAUUGUUAAAUUCCUGCUCUUCUAUCAAUUUUUUUGGCUGAGUGCUACGGCUAAAUAAUUGUUUGCAGCAUAAGUGAUGUUAAAGAUUUUAAUAGGUGUAAAGCAUCUCUCUCUCUCUCUCUCUCUCUCUCUCUCUCUCUCUCUCUCUCUCUCUCUCUCUCUCUCUCUCUCUCUCUCUCGUAAAGAAAGACAUUAUUUCUAGUGUAAAUAAACCCAAUAGGCUGUCCAAUUUGAAAUUUAAAAUGUAAAUAUCAUCAAUCUUUUUAGAAAUGUUAGCUGCAUCCUCUUCCCUUGCAGUCCAAUAAGACAGGUCACUAAUUUGUGUGGAGAUAGAAUUCUUGGAGUCACCUUUGCCGGCAGUAGUGCAAGUGCAAACAGUCUGAUAAAGGUUUCUUCCAUGGUUGUGAUGAAAUUCAGGACUUCUCACACUGUUUUGGUGGAUAUGAUGAGAAGAAUCGGGAGUUCGGGACAUCAGUGCGUUAUGUCGGGGCAUGUAGGUUCGGCUGGGGUUUUCUUUCUUUCUUUUUUUUUUUUCGAUCAGUACUCAUCAUAUUCUUACGAGGACUUGCUAGACAAAGCAUUAUUGCAUUAUGAUAUUACCCAAAUAGUGUCUCAAGUAAAAAACAUAACCGCAUACUCGUACAAAAGAUUUGCUGCUGUGACACAAACGACAAAAAUCAUUAGUAUACUGGUCGUUCUGAGCAUUCAAUCAAAAUGCUUGUCAUUCAUAUAAUUAGUAGAACCAUCGAGGAGCUUUAUUUUUGUUAAUUCUUAUGUGAUAAAGCAAUAAUUACAGGAGAAUUUUAAAAGAUUGGUACUCAAAUUAGUGGACUGUCCUAUUGGAUGUGACCAUGUCUUCACUUUUUCCUUACACAGUUAAUUUUCUUUUGUUUAUUUGAUUUACUUAUUAUCAUAUUUAUUUAUAUAUUUAUUUAUUUGCACCAGAUGCUUGCUUAGUUAUAUUGGGGUUACUUCACCUGCUUGGAGAAAGGAAAGACUCCAUUUUUACUAAGGUACCAGAAGAAGAACUAAGAACAGGGCAGUCUAGUGUGUAUUUGAUGGUGCACCUGUAGCUGAACCAACAUGUAUUUCUAUGGCUGUAGUCUCAUUGGUAGCAGGGCUUUGUGUUUAAUAUUGAACACCCAAAAAAUUGUGAACAUUUCCUCCGUUUCACAACAUAGGUAUCAAGUAUGACAAAGGUAACACUUCAAAAACAAGAUCUCUACUUGUAAAACUCAAUGAAGUAAAGACAGAAUUGAGCUACAAAAAUGCAUAAAUCUACUUCCAAAUAUAUUCAACUCCACACAUAAUGCCUCUCUCUCUCUCUCUCUCUCUCUCUCUCUCUCUCUCUCUCUCUCUCUCUCUCUCUCUCUCUCUCUC